CACUGUUACAGUUCUUUUAGAAUCCGCCUAGCAAAUUUUCUGGCUUUUCCCGGAAAAUCUCC
rnacentral:snRNA from 1 species